rnacentral:rRNA from 1 species
UUGUUCGCAAUGGGCGCAAGCCUGACGACGCAACGCCGCGUGGAGGACGAAGAUCUUCGGGGCGUAAACUCCUUUCGAUCGGGAAGAACGGCUUCCGGGUGAAUAAUCCGGGAGAGUGACGGUACCGAGAGAAGAAACCCCGGCUAACUUCGUGCCAGCAGCCGCGGUAAGACGAAGGGGGCUAGCGUUGUUCGGAAUUACUGGGCGUAAAGCGAGUGUAGGCGGUUGUCAUAGUCAGGUGUGAAAGCCUUGAGCUCAACUCAAGAAAUGCACUUGAUACUGGGCGACUAGAGGACCGGAGAGGAUAGUGGGAUUCCCAGUGUAGUGGUGAAAUACGUAGAGAUUGGGAAGAACACCAGUGGCGAAGGCGGCUAUCUGGACGGUUACUGACGCUAAGACUCGAAAGCGUGGGGAGCAAAC